rnacentral:rRNA from 1 species
UCGGGAAUUUUGCGCAAUGGACGAAAGUCUGACGCAGCAACGCCGCGUGAGGGAUGACGGCCUUCGGGUUGUAAACCUCUUUUGUCAGGGACGAUGAUGACGGUACCUGACGAAUAAGCCACGGCUAACUACGUGCCAGCAGCCGCGGUAAUACGUAGGUGGCAAGCGUUGUCCGGAUUUACUGGGCGUAAAGAGCGCGCAGGCGGUCGAUUUAGUCGCGUGUGAAAGCCCCCGGCUCAACUGGGGAGGGUCACGCGAUACUGAUCGACUCGAAGGCAGGAGAGGGUAGUGGAAUUCCCGGUGUAGUGGUGAAAUGCGUAGAUAUCGGGAGGAACACCAGUGGCGAAGGCGACUACCUGGCCUGUUCUUGACGCUGAGGCGCGAAAGCUAGGGGAGCAAACGGG